UGUGGCCAGAGCCCAAGGAUGAAGGGGGCUCCCUCACUCUGUGACUGUGAAGAGGGAGCCUGAGGUGUAGCAGGCCCAGGCCCCAGAAGUAUGGAAAAAAAUGAGCUUGACUACCACACAAAUGAAUCCACUCAAAUGUUGGCAAGUGGAGCAGAGUCCCAGGAAAGGUACAGAAACACCCCCAGUUCAAGGAUCUUCAUACCUGGAUUUAGGCCUACUCCUGCAACUACCCCAGGAGGCUCUUGGAAACCACCGUGAAUUGGACCGCACUGGAAACACAGAUGAAGAAAGUCAACGCCGCUUUGUCCUUCAGUGCCUGGCUCCUUUUUCAGCUUGUCUUGCGAGUCCAGGGAGGGGCACGCCGCCUUUACCCUGUGCUUCCCACGAUCUUGUCUCCUUAAUCCUCACUGCAGCUCUCUGCCAUAGGGUCUUAUACUGCUUUACAUGCAAAGGGCCUCUGAGGGAGUAUUACAGCCGCCUCAUCCACCAGAAGCAUUUCCAGCACAUCCAGGUCUGCACCCCCUGGCUGGACGGCCGAGGACUACCCCCGCUUCUAGCAGGGUCGGUGGACCUGGGUGUCUGUCUGGACACAUCCUCCAGUGGCCUGCACCUGCCCAUGAAGGUGGUGGACAUGUUCAGGAGCUGUUUGCCUGCGUGUGCUGUGAACUUCAAGUGACAGGGUCUUGCUCUGCUGCCCAUGCUGGAGUACAGUGGUGAGAUCAGGGCUCACUGCAGCCUCCACCUCGUGGGCUCAAGCCAUCCUCCCACCUCAGCUUGCCGAGUAGCUGGGACUACAGGCGUGUGCAACCACACCUGGCUAGUUUCUGUGCGGGGGCUGACAAAUGUCAGGUCUGAGGACAGUGGCUGGCCCACUAUGGGGCCAGUUCCCCUUCUCUAUAGUCACCCUGCUCAUCUUCCAUCGACUGGGUGCUCAGGACAGUGGCAUGGUGGAUCCGCCUGUACAGCCUGUGCUCCAGCAUCCUGCAGGCCACAGCUGUGUCCAGCCCUGACCCCGACUGCCCCUCCCGCCACCUCCAUUUUAUAGAUGAGGAAACCGAGGCCCAAGGGCUUAGGGAACCCUGCUCUGAAGCACACAGUAGGGCUGCUGGGCUCAGAUCCUCCCUCCCUGUGCUGAGCUGCCCUCCUCCUGCCACAAGCCCCCCACGCCCCGAGCCCACCCUGCUCACUGGCCUCUGCUCUAGUUCCCCGCGUGGUGUGGGAGUGUGGGGCAUCCUAGCUUUUCCCCGGCCCCCAGUUCUUUCACUUCCACUGGAGUCCCGCAGGGACAGCUCGGGGACCAUGCAGGCCCGGGUGGGCGUGGGGGCUCACAUAGCUCGGUGGUGAACAGCUG